CUGGUCUAAAUAAGGGUCUUUGCGCCUAAAAUGUAACGGGGCUAAAGCCAUACACCGAAGCUUUGGGUGCAUAGCAAUAUGCGCGGUAGCGGAGCGUUCUGUAGGCCUGUGAAGGGAGACCCGUGAGGGCUCCUGGAGGUAUCAGAAGUGCGAAUGCUGACAUGAGUAACGUAAGGAGUGUGAGAGACACUCCCGCCGAAAGACCAAGGGUUCCUGCUUAAAGUUAAUCUGAGCAGGGUUAGCCGGACCCUAAGGCGAGGCCGAAAGGCGUAGUCGAUGGGAAUCACGUUAAUAUUCGUGAGCCUGCAGGUAGUGACGGAUCAUCAAGGUAGUUCAUUCUUAUUGGAUUGAAUGGGCUGCUGCGUGGUUCCAGGAAAUAGCUCCUGCUUAUAGUCCGUACCCGAAACCGACACUGGUGGUCUGGUAGAGUAUACCAAGGCGCUUGAGAGAACUAUGCUGAAGGAACUCGGCAAAUUGCACGCGUAACUUCGGAAGAAGCGUGACCCCUUAGUACGCAAGUAUUGGGGGGUGGCACAGACCAGGGGGUAGCGACUGUUUAUCAAAAACACAGGGCUCUGCGAAGCCGCAAGGCGACGUAUAGGGUCUGACGCCUGCCCGGUGCUGGAAGGUUAAGAGGAGAGGUGCAAGCUUUGAAUCGAAGCCC
rnacentral:rRNA from 1 species